UUGUAAUUUGUAGAAGGUGCUCCGGGUGCGGCCGCGGUCCAAGUCCCUUGGAACAGGGCGUCGCAGAGGGUGAGAAUCCCGUACGCGGCCGAUGGCCAAGCCCUUGUGGAGCCCUUUCGACGAGUCGAGUUGUUUGGGAAUGCAGCUCUAAAUGGGUGGUAAAUUUCAUCUAAAGCUAAAUAUCUGCCGGAGACCGAUAGCGCACAAGUAGAGUGAUCGAAAGAUGAAAAGCACUUUGAAAAGAGAGUCAAACAGUACGUGAAAUUGUUGAAAGGGAAGCGCUUGCAACCAGACUCGUUCGCGGGUGCUCAGCCGUCCCUCGGGGCGGUGCACUCUCCCGCGUUUCGGGCCAGCAUCGGUUUUGGCGGCCGGACAAAGGCCCUGGGAAUGUAGCUUUCUUAGGAGAGUGUUAAGCCUGGGGUGCAAUAUGGCCAGCCGAGACCGAGGACCGCGCAAUCGCUAGGAUGCUGGCGUAAUGGUUGCCAGCGACCCGUCUUGAAACACGGACCUAGGAGGUAAAUUAAUCCCAGGGGUGAAGUUUUGUAAUUUAUGCUAAUUCCGAUUUAGUCGACCGUCGCGGCGAGUGUUAGGGCGUAAAACUCUGACGCGUAAUGAAAGUGAACGUAGGUGGGAACCUUCGGGUGCACCAUCGACCGAUCCUGAUGUCCUCGGAUGGAUUUGAGUACGAGCCACGCCGGUCGGACCCGAAAGAUGGUGAACUAUGCGUGAAUAGGUACGCUAAAAAGUGGAAUUGUUUUCGUUGCGGCAGAGCUAAUUAUAAAUAGGGUGAAGCCAGAGGAAACUCUGGUGGAGGCUCGCAGCGGUUCUGACGUGCAAAUCGAUCGUCAAAUUUGCGCAUAGGGGCGAAAGACCAAUCGAACUAUCUAGUAGCUGGUUCCCGUCGAAGUUUCCCUCAGUAAGUCAAAUUCUGCUCCGAGGGAUUGCUUUUUUGCACGAUACUAAUUAUUUAAUAGGGAUAGCAGCAACGAAAACAGUCUCAUGAGGUAGAGCAAACGAUUAGAGGUCUUGGGGUUGAAAUCGACCUUAACCUAUUCUCGAACUUCGAAUAUGUGAGAAGUCCUUGUUACUUAGUUGAA
rnacentral:rRNA from 1 species